AAGUUAAAAUGAGUUUUUAUUUUAAAUUCAAAAACAUGUCAGAUGCAAUUGUCAUCAUCCACCUCAGCGGAAGCUAACGGCGUCAUAGAGCAGUUGACGGAGUGGACCUAAUUGCAAUUGAAUCGAAUUUUCUGUAUCAAAUCUUAAUUGAAAAUUCUAGUUAUAUCAAAAUAUUAUAUUUCGUAAACUUUUUGUAUCCUGCUCUAAUUAAACCUUAAACAACCCAUUUAUUGUUCCGCUUCUUUCCCUUCUCUCUCUCUCUCUCUCUCUCUAGCGCGCGCGUUCGCUAUCUCGAUAGAUUGAGGGAUCCAUCUCUCUCUCUCUCUCCGGAAGCAGCGAUCGCCGCCCUUUUCUCUCUCCUCCCGAUUUAUCCUCUCUGUCGUCGGUGAGCCCCCGUCCCACCUCUCACUCCCCUCCGGAGAUCGACAAUUGCUCGCCACUCGUCUCAGCUUCCAGGGUUCGCCCUGUCGUCCCGCGGGCUUCGAUUUCUAGGGUUUUGCUCCCGGUCUUCUCCGAUGAACUUCUCGAGCCGAUUUCAGGAUUCCUAGAUUGAAUUCAAUUCUUGCCCUUGAAUCAUUGAGGUUCGUGCUGGUGUUUGAAUUCGAUAUUUUUUCCCAAUUAAGUUUCGCGAACUCUUUUUCUCAAUAAAGAGGGCAAAAUCCGCAAAAUUUUCCGUGGAUUUUGAGCUUCCCCGUGUUCUUGGAUUGGAAUUGAGGUGGGAUUUUAGCGGCUUGUUGAGUUUUGUAUUGUUAGAUUCAUUAAUGGCGGCUGGAAGACAUGGGGGCUAUCGUGAUAACGAGUUUAGAGACCGUGAAUCCAGUGUGAACGCAUCGAGGCGGGAGCUUGCCUACUCCAAGGAGGAGUAUGAGCGGGCUAGGGGUAGGGAUAAUCGCAAUGCUGGGCGUGGUCGAAUUCAUGAUGUUAGAGAUAGAGAUAGGGCUAGGGUCAGGCAGAAGGAUAUCAAGGAGAGGGAAGCGGCAAAUGGAGGAUACAGGUCGUCUUCCAGUAGAAGUGACUCGGGUACCAGUGGGGGCAAUGGAAGUGAUGCUAAUCGUAGGUCUAGGCAACCUGUGAUAUCAGUUAGGGCAGUGGAUAAAGAGCCAGGUGAGUUGUCCAGUGAAAGUGGGUCUGAGGAGGCUAUUGAGUCCGAGUCGCAAGUCAAAGAUAGUAAAGUUUCUAGAACUGGGGCAGAGAGUGGGAUGCAGUCCCCUGUAGAGAAGAAAAGGAAGUUUUCUCCUAUAGUGUGGGACAGGGAUGAUGAUGGAUCGCUAAACUCUUCUAAAAAGAGGACUUUGGUGAGAGUUACAACCCUUCCUCCUCCUCCCCCGCUGCCUAAAAACAAGCAGGUGCCUAGUAAUAAUGAUGGAGGUGUACAGGUAUCUUCUAUUAGAGAUGAGCAGGGUCCUCAGUCUCCAUUGCCUGACAGUGAGGGUGUGCCUGCUGAUCUAGGUGACAAAACAGGGUCCGAGUCCCCAGCUGGAUUGUCUAGUAUGCUUGCCUCACCUAUUGAUAAGGAUCGUUGGGGUAACAGUCAGGAUGCAGAGCAGUUAGAAGAUGAAGAUUAUGUGCCGACUCGUAAUAUUUCAUCUUCCAGAUGGGCAUCUGGCGAUGGCUCCCCAGUUGAUGAAGGGGAGAUUAUAGAGGAUGAGGAAGUACCUAAAAGAGCAAAACGGGGGUCCCUUGCUGACUCAUUGGGGACCAAGAGGAGGCACAGGAAGUCGGUUACUCCGGAGCUUGGGGAGUUCAAGAGAGACGGUUCUCGAGGAGCUGGAGGGAGGUCAUCUGAAUCUGAUGACAGAGUUUCCCGUGUUAGGUCUUCUAGUGAUGAUCACUAUUCUGGCCAUGAUUCAGAUAGGAAUGAGUACAUGGAUCUGGACGAGGAUCGGGAGAACAAGGUUAUGGGUGCAAACUUGACUGAUACAGAAUCUGAGGGUGAUGAUGACUCUCCUGGGACACCAGAACCCAUUGGCCCACCCCAAAGAAGUGUAAAUAUGCUUCAGGGAUGUAGAAGUGUUGAUGAGUUUGAGAGGCUUAACAAGAUAGAUGAAGGCACUUAUGGAGUAGUGUACAGAGCCAGGGAUAAGAAGACAGGAGAAGUGGUAGCACUGAAGAAGGUGAAGAUGGAAAAGGAAAGGGAAGGCUUCCCUUUGACUUCUUUGAGAGAAAUAAACAUUCUUCUUUCGUUCCAUCACCCAUCAAUUGUAGAUGUAAAGGAAGUUGUAGUGGGGAGCAAUCUUGACAGUAUUUUCAUGGUGAUGGAAUACAUGGAGCAUGAUCUUAAAGGGCUGAUGGAGAACAUGAAGCAGCCAUUCAGUCAGAGUGAAGUUAAAUGCCUCAUGCUACAGCUGUUGGAGGGCGUGAAAUAUCUUCAUGACAACUGGGUGCUUCAUCGGGAUUUAAAAACAUCCAAUUUGCUUAUGAACAAUCGCGGGGAGUUGAAAAUAUGUGACUUUGGAUUGGCUCGGCAAUAUGGGAGCCCUCUGAAACCGUAUACUCACUUGGUCGUCACUCUUUGGUACAGGGCUCCUGAGCUUCUGUUGGGGGCAAAACAGUACUCGACAGCCAUUGACAUGUGGUCUCUUGGCUGUAUAAUGGCUGAGCUUUUAUCAAAAGAACCACUUUUUAAUGGGAAAACUGAAUUCGAUCAGCUUGACAAGAUUUUCCGAACUCUUGGCACUCCAAAUGAGACUAUAUGGCCUGGUUUUUCUAAACUUCCUGGUGUCAAGGUCAACUUUGUGAAGCACCAGUAUAAUUUGUUGCGCAAAAAAUUUCCGCCCACAUCUUUCACUGGAUCUCCCGUUCUCUCUGAUUCUGGCUUUGACUUGUUGAACAAACUUUUAACUUAUGACCCUGAGAAGAGGAUAACAGCGGAAGCUGCUCUUAAUCAUGAAUGGUUCCGGGAAGUUCCUCUUCCCAAGUCGAAAGAUUUCAUGCCGACAUUCCCUGCCCAACAUGCCCAGGACAGGCGUAUGCGGAGAGUCAUGAAGAGUCCGGAUCCUUUGGAGGAGCAAAGAAAGAAGGAAUUGCAAGGGGACCUUGGAGGUGGGGGUCUGUUUGGCUAGAAUAAUUGGUCGCCUGUGAUCACCCAGCUUCUGUGGGACUUACAGAUGCACAAGGUCGAGGUGAGAGAUAUCCAUUGAACGGAAGUUGGGACAUUGUUUGUCAGAGGAUCAAUCUCAGUUGUUUCUUUAGCAGGCACUGCUGAUGAUUUGGUUGGAGAAGUUUAUACUUGGCUCCCCAAAUCAACAAGACCUGUUCCAGGUUUAUCUGUUCACAAGCCUUGGUCAUAUAGAAAUGCACCUAUGGCACUGCUUGCAUUGCAAGCUGGUGGUAUGAAGUGGAGGCAGGCUCUUGUCUUUACGUUGACGAAGAAAAUGACAGUACCAUUACAAAUAAAGUAUCUAUGCAAGCAGGUUGAGGAGGUUACAUGCAACUCAGCAAUAUAGAAACUUCCAUUAGUUGUCCCUUCAGGCUCACUUAGAGGUACCAUGUUAAACUUGGUUUCUUAUGCUUUGAUGAAUGAAUUUUCGCAUUAUUUUCAGUUAUAAAAUCCUGAUAUUACUGAAUCUUGUAAUGGUAGUUCUCAAAAAAUAAAAAUAAAAAUAAAAAAAAUCUUGCAAUGGCUCUUUCUCAGUCCUGCUAUACUAUGGCUUUAUAGGACUAAACCACAUGGGUACCCUUAGGUCUGAAAUCAUAUGCAUAUGACAGUUAUUUGCCAUGUAGAAUCUAUAUGUAGGAAUGUGUUUUGUAUUUACUCGCUUGACUAUUUAUUUUGCAAGUAUAUUCUUCUAAUAAUUUUUUUCCAUUGUACCUUCCCAAUUUUGCUGUAAUAUUUACAUCAUCGAAACAAGUAAGACAUGGAAGAGCCAAAAAUGAAAAAGGCACUACAGGUUUGUGAAGUUGACUGAUGGCCCAGAUAGCCAUGUGCUGCUACGUUUCAUAUCUCAGGCACUGCUUAACUUUAAUUAUGUUGAAGUAAUGUCAACUACCACUCAUAUUGCCAAUCAGUGCUUGAAGUUUAGCAAUCAACAUUAACCUGGUGAUGGGAUGGUAUGGGGUAUCAGUUCAUUUCCCACUCACAUAUAUAGCAGUGUCGCUGGCUGGGAACUUGUUGGUGCUCGAAGUACGAAAAACAUGAGCAAUUUUUGAACUAUCUCAUGUACUUUAAAUUUGACAUUGCUUUUCAAAAAAUAAGACAGUAAUUUGAAUAACUGGUAUAUGAAGAUUGCAAAUCACUGGUCCUUGAGUGGCUCAUCAUGGAGGCUCUUUGUUUUUUAUUAUUUUUGUUGAGUUUGAGGUUUUCAUAGAUGAUCGUUCAUUUUUUUAUUGCUUUGUUAAAUGCAUAAUAUUGAGUCAGGCAAAAAAAGGAAAAAAGAUACGUGCAUACAUAUAUAUUUAUAUAGUGAGAGAGAGCUGAAAUGAUCGUAUGAAUUGUUGAUAGCUGUGACCAUGUCUUUAGAAAGGAGGGACUGUUAAUGUAAUAUGAGCAGUGAACUAAAGAACGAAGCAUGUCAGUUUGGAGUUGUUUUAAGUGAAAAUAUGGAUGGAUGAUUUAUUUGAAGCUGUACAUUACUGACUUGCAUUUCUUGUGAUGUGGAGGCGGGCCACCUCCCUUGGAAAACUCGUUAGAAUUUUUACUCUGAGAUGAUCUCUUCAUAAUUGCACCUAUACUGCCAGAUUAUUGCUAACUGUGUAGUAAUUGGUCAGUAUUGAGUUUUUGGUUUGAUCCAUAUAUUAUUAAUGAUCGGGGAAGAUCCACUCUUGGGGAUGGCAAGGCUGCUAUUUGGCUGGAUAACGAUUGUUUCUGAAAUGGUGCACUUCGUCUAAUAUUUAGCAAAGAAGACAAUGGAUUAUGGCUCCCCCCGCGCCCCCAAAAAUAAAAAAUAAAAAAUAACGUCGUUUUCGUAUAGGCAUAGAAUAUCCUGUAUGUAUAUACCUGCAGUGCACAUGAAGACUAUGUUCAAAGUAUCAUUCAUGAAAAAAUCAUCAAAUAUUUGAUUGAAAGUAUCGUUCAUCGAAAAUGCUGAUCUGUGGGAAUCAAAGUUCUAGAGCGAAUUCUUGCCUUAAUUCUAUAUAUCCUGUGGUGUCUGGUCAUUUUCCCAUAUGUGCACUCCUGAUUUUGACUUGCAUCAUGUGCUGGAGUCUGAUUUCUGAGUUGUGGUAUGUUCAAGUCCCAGCUUCAAAGUGGUGUCCAUUGGCCUAUUAAGGUGGCUCUCUAUUCUCGCAAAAGUAACAUCCAGAGUCAUCUUCCUAGUAAAAGAAUCUGUUGAUAUCCUUUUUGAGCUUGUAUCUGUGUUUGUUGAAGUUUUUCCUUGCACAUCGGAUGGUUUGUUUAGGCUCUUGCUUUGAGUUUAUUUUCCUUGUUAUUGGGGAAAUGUGGCGAGCAUAAUGUACAUAGAUCGGUCCACAUCAAGCAUCAAUUGCUGGGGUGCUAGUCGAACGACAUAUCAAAGGCAGCCUCUUUGCUUCCAUGGGUAUUCCAAUAGCGGUUGCAUCUUCACCUGUCGACGAUCUUGUAUCGGGGUAGAGUAGAAUACUCGGAUAAUUGGGUGGCUCUUUGCCCAUUCUUGCUUUUAUCCUUUUUUACUGUCUUUGGUUACUGGGACGGGGAUGUAAUGUGCUCUGUAAUAGCAGUCACAGUAUCAAACUCUAAAUUGAGCUGUUUGCCGGGCAUUCAUAAUCAUCGAAAUUCAAUGUUAUGUCGA